UGUGACAUUCGUGGCAUCCUUUCAGUGCUCUCAGUCGCCUGCUCCCUUAGCAUUCUGUCACUUCACCUUGCAAAGCUGCAGUAAUGGAGCACGACAGCCCCUGGCAUACUACAUGGCUGCACCUGACCCCUCAGGACUGCUGGGGGAAAAAGCAUACAGAUGGAAAGCUCAAGGAGGGAAAUAAUUUAAGAGGAGAUUUAUGGUACUGAGAACAUUUAACAUGAUUGCUUUUCUGAGUCAAGACACAGCGCUCAGCCUCCCGGGAGCUCUGCUACAGAGAACACACAACCAGCCUCCAUUGUCACUAAUACCUCCAUUCGGCCCCACCAGCCCAUCAAACGCAACCCUCCGAUGGGGACUGUUCCAGAAAACUGGACGACAUCUGAAGAACUCUUCCUUGGCCAUCAGCUCCAGACCCCCGCCACUGUCCAGAACCCACUCGGGACCACCCUGUAGAAGAGCCAAGCGGUACUCGGAGAUCUUGGAAGGCAGGAGGCUACCCAGGGUACACUGAAGAAAUUAUAAACCUAAACCAGAAGGACAGCAGAGGCCACAGAGGAGGAAUCCAGAAAGCCAGUGCUGAGACCCUUUCUGUCACAGAAACAUCCCCGCGGGAAGGCGUCCUGGUUCAAGUCCCAAGUCUUACACCUGCUACCUCUGUGAUGUGGGGCAGAUCAACUCAGUUCUUGGCACCCCAUUUUCUUCAGCUGUAAAACAGGACGUGACUUGGCAAGUGUUCGUGUGGUAGCUACGAUGUGCCAGGUAUUAUUGCGGCUGCACAUGCAACAGCCAAAGAGUUCCUUACCCACAUGAAGUGUAUUUCUGAGCAAGAGGGGACAGGCAACAAUAACUGAUGUGAAACAGAGGGUAGGUCAUAAGGUAAAAAGCAGCAGAGAGAAAAAUAAGGCAGGGAGAAGGUAACCAGAGAGUAGGUGACCUGACAAUGUGGAAAAGGGCAUAAAUGAAGGAACAGGUGGAUGAUUGGGGGUGAGGGUUAGGGAUCGAUGGUCUGGACAGAGGACACAGCCCACGAAAAGGCACCAGAGCAUGGCGUGUUCUAGAAGUGGGAAGAUGCUCUGUGUAGCCAGAGUACAGGGAGCAAGGAGGAGACUUGAAAGGGAUGAAGUCAGAGGCAGGGGGCCAAAUUUUAUAAUGACUCACAGGCCAUUGAAAGGACUCUGGUGUUUGCUCUGGAGCUAGACAGGAAGUUGCUAGAAGAAAGUGAUGUGAUGGAGUUCACAUUUAAAAGGACCACUCCGCUCACUGUUUUGAGAACCUGAGGUUUCACUCGAGAAGGGCACGGGUUCCAGUUCGGAGGCAAUAUAGCGAUCCAGGCAGGACGGUGGAUAUGUGCCUUUUCUACCCCACCCGUGUGUUAGGAUUUAAGGUGUGUAAAGAUAAGUUUCAAAACACUGCAUGUAUUUAAGGCUUAUUACUGUUGCCAUCUUAUGGCCUUUGCACUAGAAACACGCUAGCAGGAAAAAACACAGCCAACAAAGAGUUUUGUAUUAUGAGCUUGAGGGUGAGGAAGAAGAUGUCAAACAAUCAACCCUAGAUUGGUAUCAUAUUUAGAGCCUGUUUAAUGGCCCACUGGAGACGGCAGACAGGGCACAUCCCAACUUUUCUCGCUUCGUGUGACUCAAGAAACUAAUUUCUGGAAAAAAAAUAAUAUCCUCUCCUUUCCUCAACAGGACAACACAUUCCACAUCAAUCUGUCAAACGCAAACACACACACACACACACACACACAACCUUGCUUUAAUAACUGUCGAACACUGUCAGCGAAAAUAUCACCAGGCAUCAUUGACUUAGGUGUAAGUUAGAUGAAGUUCUAAGAUACAGCUUUAACACUCAACUAUUAAUAAUCAAAGAGAUUCUAAUUAAAGAGAUACCAUUUUCACCCAUCAGACCCAGGUCUUUGUACCUUGGUCGAAACCCACAGAGUGUAAAACACCAAGAGUGAACCCCAAUGUAAACUGUGGACUUUGGGUGAUUAU